GUCUGGGGUGGGAAGUCUGAGCUGCAGGGUCUCUUACAGCAGGCGUGAGGAGGGAUCCCUGCUGGGACAGGGGUUUCUGUGGUGGCAACUUCUCUGCUUGGAGGGGGUUCUGUGGCUCUCAGCUUGGCAAGUACUGCAUGGGGUGGGGGAUGUGCUAGCGACUGCCCAUGGCAGACCCUCAGGCCACUCAGGCAGGGCCAGGGGGAACAAAUGAGUACCGGCAGCCCCUGGGCAUCAGUGACGGACCUGUGUGGCCAGGUCUUCCUUCUCAUGCCCAGGGAGCUUUAGAAGCAGCAGGGAGGGACCAGACACGACACUAGUUCACUCCUCUCCUUACCACCUCUGUCAGUUAGUGCUAUGGUUUAAACCCUUCCAAAGCCCCUUGGUCCUCUGCUGCAUCCCUGAAAUGAGGGGGAGGGGACUGGAGAGAGCUAAUGCCUACCUUUGCUAUUUUCUGCCCGCAUCACCAGGCCAGAUUCCCUGCAGGGGUCUGUGGCUGCAGAACUUGACUUUUCACAGAGCUGUCCUGCCACAUCAGCCCUGACAAUGGCCUCAGGGGAACACGCUGCACUGUGGCCCACUGGUUUGGAAGUUUCAGACCAAACCUCAGCCUGCCAGGACAAGGACUGAGUCUUCAGGCAGCAAGUAUGAACAUAAACCCUGGGGUUUAGGAGAAGAACCCAGAACAAAACACAGUGUGGCUGUACCUUGCAUCACCCUUUUUGCAGCUGGUGUGCAGGCUCUCCAGCACCAGCCCUCUUCACGUACUGGAAGGCUGCUGAAAGGUCUUGGAGCCUUCUCCUCUCCAAGCUGCACAACCCAAACUCUCUCAGCCUGUCCCCACAGGGGAAGUUCUUCAGACAAAGGGUCAUUUUUGUGACCCUCUUCUGGACCUCCUCUAACAGCCUAAUGUCCUCCUUGUGUUGAAGGCACCAGAAGUGGAGGCAGUGUUCCAGGUGAGGUGUCAUGAGAACAGACCGCCUGCUUCACUGCAGCACUGGGUUUUUUUUUUAAUCUAACUAUACAAACUUCCCUCUGGAUUUUAACAGAUCAAAUCCUAGCACCUGUGAUUCAUUUGUGUGUCUGUGAGGUGAAAAUAAACAUCUUGGUCUUC